rnacentral:lncRNA from 1 species
AACAGUCACAUUUUGAAUAACAAUAACACAGAAGUAAACUCUGUACAAUUCCUUACAAUAUUCAGGUGCUAAUUGUAGGCAACAUUACACACAUUUAUAAGUCUGCUAGAUAUAAUAAGAAUUUGUUAUAUCGAUCAUGCUGAAUAAUAAGAAGCCUCAUACAUUAUGUGUAUAAAAGAGGGGCGAAAUUCAUCAGAGGGACAGUCAAAUUCAUAGAUCGAAAAUAAACUGA